UGUAUUAGAAGUUGAUCAAUAUAAUGUUUUCAAGUAUUUUAUGCUCCUGUUAUAUUUAAUGCAAGUUCCAUUUAUGAGACACCUUAAGCAAUAGAGAAGUGCAACAUUUGUUCACAGGUUUUAUUUAGACAAAAUGGUAUGCACCCCUCUGGUGAACCUAAGCCUUAGAAAGUCUUGGGAAUAGAAACCCAUGUCCCACCAGUUUAUUUAGCUGGAGCUUAGAAGGAGAAUUGAUUGAUGUUUUGUCAUGUUGAGGGGUGAAGCCGGCUGCACUUCUGGGUCAGGUGGGGACUUGGAGAACUUUUCCGUCUAGCUGAAGGAUUGUAAACGCACCAAUCAACGCUCUGUGUCUAGCUAAAUGUUUGUAAAUACACCAAUCAGCACUCUGUAAAAACGCACCAAUCAGCGUUCUGUAAAAUGGACCAAUCAGCACUCUGUAAAAUGGACCAAUCAGCAGAACGUGGGCAGGGCCAAAUAAGGGAAUAAAAGCUGGCCACCAGAGACAGCAGCAGUAAUCCACUGGGGUACGCUUCCGCGCUGUGGAGAGUAUGUUCUUUUGCUCUUCACAGUAAAUCUUGCUAAUGCUCACUUUUUGGGUCCACACUACUUUUAUGAACUGUAACACUCACUGCGAAGGUCUUUAGCUUAACUCCUGAAGCCAGCAAGACCACGAAUCCUCUGGGAGGCAUGAACAACUCCUGACCCGCCACCUUAAAGAGCUGUAACACUCACUGUGAAGGUCUGCGGCUUCACUCCUGAAGUCAGCGAGACCACGAACGCACCAGAAGGAAGAAACUCCCCACACAUGUGAACAUCUGAAGGAACAAACUCCCGACACUCCAUCUUCAAGAACUGUAACACUCACCGUGAGGGUCUGCAGCUUCAUUCUUGAAGUCAGCAAGACCAAGAACCCACCAGAAGAAACCAAUUCCGGCCACAGUGUCUCCUUGGCUUACUGUGGAAAAACUCAAGGGGAGAUUAUUCUCUGAAAAAUCUUACCAGGAGGUGAAAAUCUGACAGCUCAAAAUGAAGCAAAAACCCAAGAUUAAAACAGACACCAUUUUGUGCCCACUCAGUCUUCUUUCCAGGGUCAUACAUGUGUAAGUAGCUGUUUGUUUAUAGUCGAGACCUUCUGUGGGUAAAUCUGGCAGGAUAUCAAAGACAUUUAGCAUAGAUAUUUCAUUUUCAAUGCAUGUGUCUAUUUUUUUCCCUGUUGAUGAACCAAAUAUAACACAUGCAGAUGAUUUUUAGGAAUUUAUUUUAAAUCAUAAGUGUUUCUUUUUUCUUUUUCUGAAUGUUCACAGUAGCUGGGAGACAAGUAUUUGCUUACCACUCCCCUCCCAACACGGCAUUGAAUGGUUGGGUGGAACUGAACACAAGAUUGCAUAAUGUGCUUCCUCUCUUUAAUAUCUCCAUAUUUAAUCCACUAAUUAAUCAUAUAUAUAUCAAUCUGUCUAUUAACCAUCUAUAAUCUAUUCAUCUGUUAAUCAUCUAUAAUUUAUCAAUCUGUACUUCGUGGCAUAGUAUUUAAGAAUAUGGGCUUUGGACUCGGUUAUAUCUGAGUUUAAAGGCAGGGUCCAUUUCUUAUUAGCUAAGUGGCUUUAGGCAAAUUAACCUCUCUAAGACUAAUUGGCUUAUUAAUAAAAACAUUCAUUUAAGAUAUUAUGAAGAUUAAAAGAUAAUCCAAGCAAAGGGCCU
rnacentral:lncRNA from 1 species